GCUGAAGAGAUGGUGAUGUUGAUUUACAAGCACAUAUCUUAAACAAAUAUGUGGAAAACCAAAUUUCUGAAUCUUUUCUGA